UGCCAGACUCCUACGGGAGGCAGCAGUGGGGAAUAUUGGGCAAUGGGCGCAAGCCUUACCCAGCAAUACCGCGUGAGUGAAGAAGGUCUUCGGAUUGUAAAGCUCUUUGAUCAGGGACGAACAGAUGACGGUACCUGAAGAACAAGCCCCGGCUAACUACGUGCCAGCAGCCGCGGUAAUACGUAGGGGGCGAGCGUUAUCCGGAUUCACUGGGUGUAAAGGGAGCGUAGACGGCCAUGCAAGCCAGGGGUGAAAGCCCGGGGCCCAACCCCGGGACUGCCCUUGGAACUGCAUGGCUGGAGUGCGGGAGGGGCAGGCGGAAUUCCUGGUGUAGCGGUGAAAUGCGUAGAUAUCGGGAGGAACACCGGUGGCGAAGGCGGCCUGCUGGACUGCGACUGACGUUGAGGCCCGAAAGCGUGGGGAGCAAACAGGAUUAGAUACCCUCGUAU
rnacentral:rRNA from 1 species